AUAGAAACAAAAUUUGCAACUUCCAAACUAUUAGAGAGAAAAUAGUGGAAGGACAAUCAGAAAGAUAUCAAGAAAGGAUACAAAAAAAAAAAAAAAAGAAGAAGGUAGGAUACUCUCCAAAAUAGUAUAGUUUAUUAAUGCUCAAAUAUAUUAAAAAUACAAAAACAUAUCAAAGAUACAAGAAAGUUGAAGAUAAAAUUAUAAAAUCAUGCUAUGCAAAUGCUAGAAAAAUGAAAACUGUUAGCCAGAUUAAUAUUAGACACAAUAGAAAUUAAUAUUAAAAACACUUCUAGAAAUAGAAGAUCAUUUUGUGAGAGAGAUUUGAAUAUCAAAGAAAUAUAAUUUUAAUCUGUAUAUACCUAAUUAUAAAGGUUUGAUAUAUGCAAUGCAUAAAUUCAGAGAACUGUAAGGAGAAAUAGACAAGUCCACAAAUAUAGUAGAUUUCCUCUUUCUUUAAUUUAUAGGACAAGCAUUAAAAAUCAACAAGUAUUUAGAAGAUUAGAGCAACAUGGUUAAAAAAAUCUAAAAAAUUAGAUAUAUUUAGAACACUGCAGCCAACUACUAGGGAAUUUUAAGAACAUAUACUUUUCUUCUCCAAGUUGACAGUACAGUAUUGUAUGACUGUGCUUAAAAUUAAAGAAAUAAAAACAGUUUAGAGCAUGAUAUUAAGCUAAAAAGCAAAGAAAUAGGUAUAAGCAGGAAGACACAAUAUUCUUGGAACUUUUGAAAUAUUCUAAAGUUAGUCCAGAGGUAACAUAAUGGCUAUUGUAUGCAUGCACAAAUACUAACAAUGAAUCCCACUAUUAAAUAUAAUAGUAAUACACCACUAAAAACUUUUUUAAAGGAGGUAAUAUAAUGGAGAUUAGAAAAUAAUUUAACUCAAUAAGGAGAACACUUAAGAAUUUGUGUAAUAUAGCUAAAGCAAUAGAUAGAAAUUGUGUAGUUGUAAAUACUUAUAUUAGAAGAUAAAUACUGAACAUUAAUGAACUAAGUAUCUUUCUUAAGAAAAAGAGCAAAAUUUAAAGUAAGAAACAGAAAGGAAAUAAGGAUAAAUACAAAAAGCAUUAGAAAACAUACAAUUGAGAGGAUCAGUAACCUCAUGUCCUUCAUCUUCACUCACAUAUCACCUCUAUUAGAAGUCC
rnacentral:lncRNA from 1 species